AUUGAACGCUGGCGGCAUGCCUUACACAUGCAAGUCGAACGGCAGCACGGGAGCAAUCCUGGUGGCGAGUGGCGAACGGGUGAGUAAUGUAUCGGAACGUACCUUUCAGUGGGGGAUAACGUAGCGAAAGUUACGCUAAUACCGCAUAUUCUGUGAGCAGGAAAGCAGGGGAUCGCAAGACCUUGCGCUGAUUGAGCGGCCGAUAUCAGAUUAGCUAGUUGGUGAGGUAAAGGCUCACCAAGGCGACGAUCUGUAGCGGGUCUGAGAGGAUGAUCCGCCACACUGGAACUGAGACACGGUCCAGUCUCCUACGGGAGGCAGCAGUGGGGAAUUUUGGACAAUGGGCGCAAGCCUGAUCCAGCCAUGCCGCGUGAGUGAAGAAGGCCUUCGG
rnacentral:rRNA from 1 species